GCCCUUCAAGCAUCAACGGUGAUGCACCGCCCUUGUAGCGCGGGGACGCCGGGUUCGAUCCCCGGGUGGGGCU
rnacentral:tRNA from 1 species